GCCCAUUCUCACCCUCUCCCAUUCCCUCAUCCCCUCGUCCAAUCCAAUCGACCUGGGCGAACAGCCCUACCGAUAGGCGACAGCGCCGCCGCCGGCGAAUCCCUUCAUCCUCUGCCUCGAUCGCUACCUUUAUCCUCUGCCUCGAUCUCUCCCUCCCAUGUUGCCUCCUUGUCCCGCUGUUCUAUGCCAGCCGACGAAUUCCUCCAGCGCAUGCACACGGGAAAGAGAUCACUUGGAGUAGAACUACCCACGUACAAGAAUUGGCAGGAAAGGGGAUGGUCACAUGAAGUUUGUUGUCAUGUUGAACUGUGAGGCCACGGUUCACUCAGUCGCAGAUGAUGGCGAGGCGACAAAGACGUACAGUGUGCCCAGCUCAUCCCGUGUUCGAUUGAGCUGGGGCGCUCAUGGCGGCGCUGAAAGGAAUCUCCUAGCCAAAUUUUAGCAUGGAGGCGCCUUCCAGAGCACCUUGCCGCUGAUAGUGAUGUCCGGCGGCGCGAGGACAUGGUGAGGCUUCAAUGAAUCAUCCAUGGAUCCGACGAUUUCAAGGCUUCGAAGGAUUAAAUAUGAGAACAUAAUUCUCGAAACGGAGGAGGUUCAAUUGGUGUUCCUGGAGAUGACAAGAAGGAUCAUUCAAGGGAAGAGGAUUCGUUGCAAGAGAGUCGAACGCCGGCGCGGGCGGUCCUCUCAAAGGGCUCAUUACAGCAUCACAAAGACACGGGCAACGGUGCUACUGCUGAUGGUAGAGAGAAGAUCAACGGCAAGGGAGGCAAGGGAAAAACUGAGGGUCAAGUCAAAGAGGGUUUACAACUAGGUAUAAAGCUUCACGAGGACUCAUCUUCUUGGGAUGGAAGAUGAUCAGUUACUGAUAAGUUAUAAAAUUUCAAUAUUUUGGUGAUGGUACCGACUGGGUGUUCUUCCAGAUUUACUUCUAUCAUGUGUAUUAAAACACGUUCAGCUUAUGUAGAUGAUGCACAAAUACUGCAGUAAAAGUAAAUACAUUACCUGUAAACUGAACUGUUGAUUUAGUAAUUCUACUUUUGGUCCAGCGAUCGAUCAAUUGUUGAGGCUACACUGAACCAAAAAUUGCUUACUGGGGCAGUACUAUAGUCUCUUGAUUAUGCUCUCAAGUAAAUAUCAUGUCUUCCUCUAAUUAGAAAUUUAGAAAACAAUAGGUUAAUCAGAAGCUGUCUUACAAAAAGAGUGCUCUUCAGAAGCUACUACAUGUAUACGCGAAUAUCACAUGCAUGUUUUCUUAAUUUUCAGGUGCUUGUGAAUAUGUGCGGAAGUACAGUAGCCUGUAGCUUUGUAGGCGUUGAACUAAAUACCAAUCCAAGUAGGAGUGAAAGGAAGAUAAUAUAGGUUUUGAUCCGCCAAAAGGUCUAUUUAUUCUCAUUUCAGUUAAAAUUUACCUCUAAAACAUUGCAUGAAAUCCUGCGCAUAUUGGAUACUUUAUUUAUGCACCUUCUUGCAUUUUAAUUCCAUGUAAGUUGUGUACUCUAUUUAAUAAGUUAUUUGUAUUUUGGCUACAAAUGAUUUUAUUGGAUAUACUGUAGACAUUUUCCGCAGGGACUGUUGCAGCUUGCUAGACAUAGGAAAAGAUGGGAGUCAAUCCAAGAUGACAUCAGCAACCAAAGGUGAACAUUUAUAUAAACAUUUUGGUUUUCUGAUACAAGAAUAAUCAUGUGUUUUUUUCUUUGAAGGUAUGUGAUUUUCUUGCAGUGUGGAAAUUAUUAUUAUGAUAAUUCAUCAGAGAUGGGUACUUACGUUAUUUUCUUCUUACAAAGAAAUUCAAGUUUGAAUCUUAGAUUUGACAAUUAUUUUACAUGUCAUGAAGUGUGUACUGCAUCGCUCAGAAAAAUCAUAGCUUCCAUCCA